GUUCACCCUAAUAACUGUGAUGCGCGUUAAUAGGGCAAAAAUUAAUGCCAAGACAUUGCUUCCACCUAAAUAAAAUAAUUCUUAAGGGUACAUAAACUCGGCUGUACCUUAAGCUCCAGUCAUUUCUAUUCUCUUUCUAAAGACAUCAUGCGGCUUAUUCUUGUGUGCUUCAUUAUUUUUCAAAUUAUUCAAAUUAUAACGGCUAUCAAUGCAAACUUGGGGAAAAAAUGGUGUAAAGGGGAGGGAUUAGCGUGUAAAUCAGAUUCUGAAUGCUGUUUGAAGAAUUGCAUACCAUGCACUAAAAUAGGUAUACGAGUUUGCAAAGCUCCCAAAGAUCUGUCAGAAAGAAAAUAUAGGGCACAGCAGAUAAAAAGAGAAAAGUUGUUGCAGAAACUUGGACCCUUGGCAGCAUGUGUGGGCUUGCAUUAAGGUUCCUGAACGAAGGAUGUAUAUAAUAAAGAAUUUUAAAAUUUUAUAAAUGAUAA